rnacentral:rRNA from 1 species
UUAAGCUAAUAAGAGCGCAGGGAGGAUGCCUUGGCAUCAGGAGCCGAUGAAGGACGCGGUAAGCUGCGAAAAGCUCCGGGGAGUGGCAAGCACACAUUGAUCCGGAGAUGUCCGAAUGGAGCAAUCCACAUGAGUGAAGCUCAUGUAUCAUAUACUGAAUAAAUAGGUAUAUGAGGGGAACCGUCUGAACUGAAACAUCUAAGUAGGACGAGGAAAAGAAAUCAACCGAGAUUCCGCUAGUAGUGGCGAGCGAACGCGGAAGAGGCUAAACCAGAGUCAGCAAUGACUUUGGGGUUUGGACUGCAUUUAGUAUCAAUGAGGUCUAGUCGAAGUACAUGGGAAGGUACAUCGAAGAGGGUGAGAAUCCCGUAGACGAAAGAUCAAGUUGGCGAGCAGUAUCCAGAGUACCGCCGGACACGUGAAACCCGGUGGGAAUGCGGGGGGACCAUCCUCCAAGCCUAAAUACUACCUGAUGACCGAUAGCGCAUAGUACUGUGAAGGAAAGGUGAAAAGAACCCCGGGAGGGGAGUGAAAGAGAGCCUGAAACCCUGUGCUUACAAGCACACAGAGCACGUCAAAGUGUGAUGUGGUACCUAUUGUAGAAUGGUCCGGCGAGUUAUUUUAUGCAGCGAGGUUAAGGACUUAAGGUCUGUAGCCGAAGUGAAAGCGAGUGUUAAUAGCACGAAACAGUUGCAUGCAAUAGACCCGAAACCGGGUGACCUAUCCAUGUCCAGGCUGAAGUGAGGGUAAAACCUCAUGGAGGGCCGAACCGACUCCCGUUGAAAUGGUAGCGGAUGAGGUGUGGAUAGCGGAGAAAUUCCAAUCGAACCCGGAUAUAGCUGGUUCUCCCCGAAACCGUUUUAGGACGGGCCUCGUGUGAAGAUUAUCGGAGGUAAAGCACUGAAUAGCCUAGGGGGCGAGAGCCUACCGAAGCUUAUCAAACUCUGAAUGCCGAAUAAUCGUUUCACGGGAGUCAGACUGUGUGAGAUAAGUUUCAUAGUCAAAAGGGAAACAGCCCAGACCCACAGCUAAGGUCCCAAAGUGUAUUUAAGUGGAAAACGAUGUGAAGUUGCGUAGACAACCAGGAUGUUGGCUUAGAAGCAGCCACUCAUUAAAAGAGUGCGUAAUAGCUCACUGGUCGAGUGACUUUGCGCGGAAAAUUUAACGGGGCUAAAAUACACACCGAAGCUUGGGCUUGACGCAUUGCGUCAGGGGUAGGGGAGCGUCGUGUAAGGGGCGAAGUCGUAUCGUAAGGGACGGUGGACUUUACACGAGUGAGAAUGCCGGAAUGAGUAGCGAGAAUUAUGUGAGAAUCAUAAUGGUCGAAAGCCUAAGGUUUUUGGAGGAAGGUUCGUCCGCUCCAAGUAAGCCGGGAGCUAAGGUCAGGCGGAAACGCGUAGCCGAUGCACAUACGGUUGAAAUUCCGUAGCCUCAGAAAGAUUUAAGCAGAGGGACACUUUGAAAGGACUGUAGCCGGGUGUUGGUUACCCCGGUCGUAAGGGAACGAAAUUAAGUAGUGAAGGCAGUCUGGACGGAGGCGAGAAAAGCUCUGUGUAUAUCUGAUGAGCCCGUACCGCAAACCGACACAGGUAGGUGGGAUGAGAAUUCUAAGACCAACGGGAGAAGGGUAGUUAAGGAACUCGGCAAAUUGUCCCCGUAACUUCGGAAUAAGGGGAGCCUGCGAAAGCAGGCCGCAGAGAAUUGGCCCAGGCGACUGUUUAUCAAAAACACAGCUCUAUGCUAAAUCGAAAGAUGACGUAUAUGGGGUGACACCUGCCCGGUGCUGGAAGGUUAAGAGGAGAUGUGAGAGCAUCGAAUUGAAGCCCCAGUAAACGGCGGCCGUAACUAUAACGGUCCUAAGGUAGCGAAAUUCCUUGUCAGGUAAGUUCUGACCCGCACGAAUGGUGUAACGA